UACGAAGGGUGCAAGCGUUACUCGGAAUUACUGGGCGUAGAGCGUGCGUAGGUGGUUUUUUAAGUCCGUUGUGAAAGCCCUGGGCUCAACCUGGGAAUGGCAGUGGAUACUGGAAAGCUAGAGUGCGGUAGAGGGUAGUGGAAUUCCCGGUGUAGCAGUGAAAUGCGUAGAGAUCGGGAGGAACACCAGUGGCGAAGGCGGCUACCUGGACCAGCACUGACACUGAGGCACGAAAGCGUGGGGAGCAAACAGG
rnacentral:rRNA from 1 species